AAAAAACUUUCAACAACGGAUCUCUUGGCUCUCGCAUCGAUGAAGAACGCAGCAAAUCGCGAUAUGUGUCAUGACUUGCAGACGUGAAUCAUUAAUCUUUGAACGCACAUUGCGCCCUGGAGCAUUCUCCAGGGCAUGUGGGUGUGA
rnacentral:rRNA from 1 species